GCCAUUCAUGAGGCCAGGUUGGUUCCACAAUGGAAAAGCUCUUUAUAAGCUAUAAAAUGCUGUACACAUAUAAACUCUUGGGAUUACAGAUUUUGAAAUUUACCCCAAAGAUAUAUUGUGUUUUGCUUAUUCAGAAGGAAUGGUGCUAUGUUGCAAACAACAGCAGAAGCAUCAAUAGUGUUGGAUAAACAAUUCCAGUUAGGCCCAUUUUUCAUGGUGAUAUGAUCUGAAACACUCUCAUCGUCUAAUUUAAAAUACUCACGAAGAUAUAUUAAAUUGUAAAAACGUUCAGGAUUACAGAAAACCAAGCAUGUGGAUGUUGAGAGAAAGGGGUGAGCGGUUCUACUAGUUGCGGUUCAGUAGGGUUAGACUGAGAAACACAACUGACU
rnacentral:lncRNA from 1 species